UAUCAAAAAAUACAUUUUAUAGAGAUUUGACAAUUUAUACAAGUUAAAUCAUCGAUGAUGAGUAAGUUAAUGAAUGAUGUGUUUCUUUGUUUUUUAAGCCUCCAUAGUUCAGGCUUCAAUAAACAUUUUAAGCAAUGUUUGGUAAUCAAAUAGUAGUUAAAACCGUAAAAAUGUAUAACUUAAAUAUUUUAAUUUUAAACAAAUAUGAUCCUAUACUUUGCGGCCGAAUCUAUAUAUUAUGGUGCCAGUAUUGCAAGCGACACAAAAUUAGCCAAAUUUAUUAAUAUCAUAUAAAAGCGGACGAGUGCGAGUUGGACUCACCCAUGAAGGGUUCCGUAGCAGCAAGUAACAUAAAUAAUAAGUAACUUUGAUCGAUGUUUUAAUAAUAGUGUAUAAUAAUCCGGUACAAACUUUGGCUCCACCUGGUCCAGCAGAAGUAUUAUCUAACAUUAUAAUAAUAUUAUCUGCUUGGGUAAGCGCAGUCGGGAACCUAUUAUAAAUGCAAGAGUAGUUAUGACUUGUGUCUAUGAAGAAUACAACACAACCUUGUACUGUAAUAAGCUUCCAAACCAAUAAAAACAGUUGAAUGAAAAUUCUAAAAAAAAAAUGUUGGAUUCAAAUACCAAAGUAUACUGAAGCAUGCAAUAUACUUGUAAUGGAACAAAUUGUCUCCAUUAAAUGUUUAUGAAGUCCAGUUCUUAGCCCUAAUACUAAACUCAAUAAAUGUAUUGUAACGGACAUUAAUGUUAUGGAAUACAAAUACCUAUAAACGCCAACAUGUUUCCACACAUCUCAAAUAAAAACUAUUGCAGCGCACACCUUUUUUACGUCUGUUACGUUUUUGGUUUAGUACCCUUUUGGUACACACACAAAGUUAUGUGGUUAUUAAUAUUAUUGUAAAACCUGUACUGUGUGGUCCAUGUAACCAGACAUUUAUUAUUAUUGUGUAUUGUUAUUGUGACAAGAACUCACGUCGUUAAUGAAUCGACAUCACGGAUCAUUGCGUAAGUCCGCCAACAACGGGUACGUUGUGUGAGAGGCCGUCUAGGACAUCGAGACCAGCGUCACACUCGAAUAUCCGUCAACUCAUGACACUAGCUGUAUAAUAUAUGUUUAUAUAUACUUAGUA